ACUCGAGACUUUGAUUCACUCGGCGUCUUUUGCCCUCGCCUUGGACCGCCCCCAACCCCAUUUUAUACCCUUUCAACGAGCGACCCCCGCUGCGUCGCGGUUCUCUCUUCGCUCUUCAGACUUUUUAGUCACGAUGACUAGCCGCGGAGAUUACAAGUGGAUAAGUGAGACAUUAAAUCGGCCCACGAUUUCCUGUACCACCCGGGCCUGAGAGUCGCGGCUCUUAACGCGGUUAAUAUGCUCAAGAUGCUGGAGGUUCAAGCGUUAUGGACGAUUAAUAGCAACAACUAACUUGACGAUCGAUAAGAAUCGACGCUGGCAACGUGCAUAAUAGAUCUCUACGAGAUGCAGAUUCCACAGGCCUCCGAUAGAGCAAGGGAUCCCCUAAAGAGGCUCGCAGGACAAUGAACUUCACGCGUGCACAUGUGUACACUCCUGUGCCGGCUCCACGGGGAUAAUGGGUAAACAAUAAUGAGGGAGAAAACGCAGGUGGGACGAGGUAAAGAAGGAGACCGGCUGGUGGCGUUAACGAGCUAGAAAACUAGCGGAAAUUUACGCUCUGACAGAUCGACAGUCGCCUCCUUGCGAACGAUAUAAUAAUAACUAUAAUAACGCUAUCCGGAGGUCGAUCUUGCUUAAAGACGCCGAUUUUCCCCGUGCUGGGGGACCAACCAAACCGUGUAACUUUAUCGGUAUCGAAGCUGCGAAAGCACGAUGCGAUGCGCUCCAACGAGCGAACAAGCGCAAUGCGGUGGCUACCAUAAUGACAGUGCUCCGCGUUAACAACCGGGAACCUGGUGAGCGCGUGUGUUCUUUAUUAUGCAACGUCAUCGAAGGGAACCGGACACCGAAAGUGAAAAAUCAUCGAUCGUCAUCGUCGGUGCAGCUGGCUGAUAUCGUCGAGAGUGAAACUUUUUAACAAGUGUCGUUUACAGCAAACACGAACGUAUUAACGCGUAAAUAAUUCGAUCUACGAUCCGGCCGUGCCUUCAAUUUUCUCGAUAAGGAUCGAUGAUUGGGAUUUGGAUCUGCACGGAAUCUUAAUGCUAAUGAAGCAUGAUGAAGCUUCGGUAUGCCGAUACUGGCACUCUUGUAUUGAUCCUGUUGUUGCGUGUACAUGUGAAGGAAAUGCACGCAUGUAUUCCCUAAAACGUUCAUUGUAUACGACAAAAUUUUAUCAGGUUUAACAAAUAGCUCAAAGUAAUCUGUGUUCACCUAUCAGUAACACGCCGUCUGAAUUUGAAAGAUGAAUAUCUCUACUCGUCUGUUUCUGAAAGCCAGAAAAUUUCUUCAACCAUGCCCUAAACAAGAGUACGAGUUCUACUAUCUAUAAUUGUACUUCACUACAUAACUGAACUUAAUAAAAGCGAUGUCAAAAUUGAA